GACUGCUUGGCGCAAUGGUAGCGCGUUCGACUUCAGAUCGAAAGGUCACAGGUCCGGCUGAAUCGAGUGUUCC
rfam:Caenorhabditis briggsae complete genome, chrIV